GAUGAACGCUGGCGGCGUGCCUAAUACAUGCAAGUCGAGCGAACAGACGAGGAGCUUGCUCCUCUGACGUUAGCGGCGGACGGGUGAGUAACACGUGGAUAACCUACCUAUAAGACUGGGAUAACUUCGGGAAACCGGAGCUAAUACCGGAUAAUAUAUUGAACCGCAUGGUUCAAUAGUGAAAGACGGUUUUGCUGUCACUUAUAGAUGGAUCCGCGCCGCAUUAGCUAGUUGGUAAGGUAACGGCUUACCAAGGCAACGAUGCGUAGCCGACCUGAGAGGGUGAUCGGCCACACUGGAACUGAAACACGGUCCAGACUCCUACGGGAGGCAGCAGAAGGGAAUCUUCCGCAAUGGGCGAAAGCCUGACGGAGCAACGCCGCGUGAGUGAUGAAGGUCUUCGGAUCGUAAAACUCUGUUAUUAGGGAAGAACAAAUGUGUAAGUAACUAUGCACGUCUUGACGGUACCUAAUCAGAAAGCCACGGCUAACUACGUG
rnacentral:rRNA from 1 species